AGGUGGCAAGAGAAAGGAGGGGGAGCGYGGGCCUCUUGCCAUUGGAGGGCCCAGAUGGGAUUAGCUAGUGGGUGGGGGAAGGGUUCACCUAGGCGACGAUCCCUAGCUGGUCUGAGAGGAUGAACAGCCACACUGGAACUGAGACACGGUCCAGACUCCUACGGGAGGCAGGAGUGGGAAAUAUUGCACAAUGGGCGCAAGCCUGAUGCAGCCAUGCCGCGUGUAUGAAGAAGGCCUUCGGGUUGGAAAGUACUUUCAGCGGGGAGGGAG
rnacentral:rRNA from 1 species